GUGUAUGGCCAUACCACCCCGAAUGCAUCUGAUCUCAGAAGCUAAGCAGGGUUGGGCCUAGUUAGGACUUGGGUGGGAGAUGAAAGUGUGUGCUACUGUUUGAUCCUUAGGGGUCUUGCUUU
rnacentral:rRNA from 1 species